AAGUCCAUUCUGGAGUCAGGGAAUUCCUGGCAGGGUGCGGAGGCUCACUCACUGAGAGAAGCCCAGAGGGCAUUCAGUAAGCUGCAAGAUGGCUUUAGCAGUUCCAGAUAUUAUAUCAGACAUGAAAAUCUCCAGCGGGGAGAAAGCACCAUCUCCUCCUGGGUUCUCUUCUUUAAUACUGAGAGAUCCUUUCCAGAAGCCUGCAGCAGACUUCCCUCAUUGCAUGUGCCCAUCCUAAUCUCAUCACUGUGACAUUUUCCCCUGACUGACAACAAGUUACAAGGCUGAUUUCUGGCACAAACUCUUCUCAGUGUGCCACAGCAGGCUUGAAUGGGUCCAAGGAACAUGUUCUUGAAACAAAGGAAAAAACAGGCCAGAAACACUAACUCAGAGCCAGGCACACAGCAGGUGCUCAGGAGGACACGUUGUUAGUCUACGAGUCUCCACUGAUUUCUACGAGUCUACGAGUCUCCACUGAUUUCACAGUGGAGAGGCCAAGCAGACACCACCCUAACCAAGGGGUCAAAGCAAACAGGGCCGACAUCAGGACAGACCUGCAUGACAUGCCCUGCAAUGAGAUAACUGAGAAGGACACAGCAGAACUGCAGUGGGAUUCCCUCCUGCCACAGACGUGGAGCUCGAAACCCACCUCGAGAAAUGACCAGAGGAACUCAACUGAGGCACCUCUUACAAAGCAGCUGACCUGUCCUCAGAAAUGUCAAGGUCAAGAAACAAAAAGGAAGACUAAGGAACUGUUCCAGAUCAAAGGAGAUUAAAAGAUGUGACAAUGGAAUGCAAUGCAUAAACCUGUACUGAACUUGGACUGGAUCCACAACUGGGAAAAAAAUGGGUAUCACCAACAUUAUUGGGAUAAUUGAUGAAAUUAGAAUGUGGG